rnacentral:rRNA from 1 species
CCCGGUGAGGAUAGCGGUGGGGAAAGACCCGUUCCCAUACCGAACACGUGCGUGAAGCCCACCAGCGUCGAGAGUACUGCUCCUUUUGGAGUGGGAGGGUAGGUAUUGCCGGGU